UACGGGGGGUGCGAGCGUUGUCCGGAAUCACUGGGCGUAAAGGGCGCGUAGGUGGUUUGAUAAGGGUGUGGUGAAAGUCCGGGGCUCAACCCCGGAUCUGCCGUGCCGACUGUCAAACUCGAGGACUGUAGAGGCAGACGGAAUUCCGGGUGUAGCGGUGGAAUGCGUAGAGAUCCGGAGGAAGACCGGUGGCGAAGGCGGUCUGCUGGGCAGUUUCUGACACUGAGGCGCGACAGCGUGGGGAGCAAUCAGG
rnacentral:rRNA from 1 species